CCUACGGGGUGCAGCAGUAGGGAAUCUUUCACAAUGGGCGAAAGCCUGAAGGAGCAACGCCGCGUGCAGGAUGAAGGCCUUCGGGUUGUAAACUGCUUUUAUAAGCGAGAAAUAUGAUGGUAACUUAUGAAUAAGGAUCGGCCAACUACGUGCCAGCAGCCGCGGUCAUACGUAGGAUCCGAGCAUUAUCCGGAGUGACUGGGUGUAAAGAGUUGCGUAGGUGGCAUAAUAAGUAGCUAGUGAAAUCUGGUGGCUCAACCAUUCAGACUAUUAGCUAAACUGUUAAGCUCGAGACCGUUAGGGGUAACUGGAAUUUCUAGUGUAGGAGUGAAAUCCGUAGAUAUUAGAAGGAACACCAAUAGCGUAGGCAGGUUGCUGGGACGGUUCUGACACUAAGGCACGAAAGCGUAGGGAGCAAACGGGAUUAGAUACCCGAGUAGUC
rnacentral:rRNA from 1 species